GUCCACGCUGUAAACGAUGAUUACUAGGUGUGGGGGGUCUGACCCCUUCCGUGCCGGAGUUAACACAAUAAGUAAUCCACCUGGGGAGUACGGCCGCAAGGUUGAAACUCAAAGGAAUUGACGGGGGCCCGCACAAGCAGUGGAGUAUGUGGUUUAAUUCGAAGCAACGCGAAGAACCUUACCAGGUCUUGACAUCCUACUAACGAGAUAGAGAUAUGUUAGGUGCCCUUCGGGGAAAGUAGAGACAGGUGGUGCAUGGUU
rnacentral:rRNA from 1 species